AAGAGAGUGAUGGGUAAGUCCGGUGAGAGAUUUUGUAAACAGAUCUGCAAGCUGAGAGGAAGAUCGAACAUGAGAGAGAGAAAUAAGACCGGCGAGGUACUGCUGACGAACGAAAUGACAGUCGAUUUCGACGUGUUUCGUUCGUUCAUGAAAGACCGGAUUUUUAGCAAUAUGUAUGGCAACAGAACUAUCCGAAUGAAGAGGAACCGACAAACUGAUCGGAACAUUGAGAUCUACGAACAAUCGGACCAACCAAGAGAAGAACCAAGAGAAAUAUAGAAACCACUGACGGACUUUCGUGAAUCCGGGCAGGUUCCCCAAUCGGAAUCACAAAAGGCAAGGAGCUGGAAGGACGACGAACUGGACAUAAAGAUCCCAAGACCUGGAUCAUGGAGCAAAUAGCGAAGUACUCGUAAAGCCGCAGUAAAAUGAGGAAGACGAGGGUCCUACAUAUACUGACUAAGGUGCUGUACAGUGAAUGAGAGAUCCGGCCUCGUGUGAGUCAGGUCAGACCACAAGACUUUUGCACUUUUGGAGUAGAAAACAGAUUCAGCAAUCUCUUUUGAAAGAGAAUUCAGCAGCCAAGAUAGCACCAUAUCAUUGCAU